UAGGGACUCGCUCCAAAAGAGUACGAGGCUAAAAAAGAAGAGGUGGCAGCUGGAAUCAUACAGAGGCUAGAGAAAAAAAAACUGUUUCCUGGCUUCAGUUCAUCUAUUACUUUUAAGGAGGUGGGCACACCAAGAACACAUAGGCGAUAUCUUGCUCGGGAUAAGGGAACUUAUGGGCCAAUGCCAAGAGGAACACCAAAAGGUUUACUAGGCAUGCCGUUUAACACAACUGUAAGUCAAAGAAAACAUAGAUGGCUCUGCGGCUUAACUAAAUGGUUUUGGCUAAUGGUUUGGCGAUAGAUGGUUUGUACUGCGUUGGGGAUAGUUGUUUUCCUGGUCAGGGAGUUAUAGCUGUGGCUUUCUCAGGAGUGAUGUGUGCUCAUCGUGCAGCUGCUGACAUUGGGCUAGAGAGAAAAUCAAAGGUACUUGAUGCUGGUCUUCUUGGUAUACUUGGUUGGCUCAGGACACUCGCAUAGUUCUGACUUCUGAGAGUACAGGCGACAAAUGGAAGUGUUCAUCAGGACGAAGAAGGGUUGGACAUA